CCAGGCCUCUGAGUGAGGGGUGGGAGCUUGCUGGGAAAACACUUCCACCUGAGAAGCACAAAGGACCCCAGAAGUAGAGGAAGCUGGCCUGAGGCCAACCGGAGGAGCAGUCCUCAUGCCAUCUCCUCCACUGUGGGACCCCACUCAACUCAGCUGAAUCCUUCCCUCUGGGAGAGGACCCCAGAUGUGUGUAGGUAACUAGAGCUCUGGGUAUGAUUCUGAUGCGUAUUUGAUGUGGAGAAC
rnacentral:lncRNA from 1 species